UUUUCCGGGACCAGUAAAACCUCAGUUCCCCUUUCAUGCAAUGGUGAUUUUGAUUGUUCGAAAAAGAUUGUCGCCAAAAAGACAUUCUCUACUUCUUUUGGAGGCUGUCUCUUUUUUCCCCUCUCAUUAUAACACCCUUGUUGAGAUGACGCCUGAUGCAACUGCUCCUUAUGCGCCACCCUCAAUCUGGUCCUGUCAAUAAUUUACAAGCGCACGUGUGAAAAUCGCCUUCAAAAUUGUAGCUCCUCGAUGACCUCGCAGCUGAAGAGCUCGUCCUCGUUGAGCAUCUCGCACGUGUUCCUGAUCCUCUCGACUUUGGCCUGGAG